rnacentral:rRNA from 1 species
GACGAACGCUGGCGGCGUGCCUAAUACAUGCAAGUCGAGCGAGCGGAACUAACAGAUUUACUUCGGUAAUGACGUUAGGAAAGCGAGCGGCGGAUGGGUGAGUAACACGUGGGGAACCUGCCCCAUAGUCUGGGAUACCACUUGGAAACAGGUGCUAAUACCGGAUAAGAAAGCAGAUCGCAUGAUCAGCUUUUAAAAGGCGGCGUAAGCUGUCGCUAUGGGAUGGCCCCGCGGUGCAUUAGCUAGUUGGUAAGGUAAAGGCUUACCAAGGCGAUGAUGCAUAGCCGAGUUGAGAGACUGAUCGGCCACAUUGGGACUGAGACACGGCCCAAACUCCUACGGGAGGCAGCAGUAGGGAAUCUUCCACAAUGGACGCAAGUCUGAUGGAGCAACGCCGCGUGAGUGAAGAAGGUUUUCGGAUCGUAAAGCUCUGUUGUUGGUGAAGAAGGAUAGAGGUAGUAACUGGCCUUUAUUUGACGGUAAUCAACCAGAAAAGUCACGGCUAAACUACGUGCCAGCAGCCCGCGGUAAUACGUAGGUGGCAAGCGUUUGUCCGGAUUUUAUUGGGCGUAAAGCGAGCCGCACGCGGAAGAAUAAGUCUGAUGUGAAAGCCCCUCGGCUUAACCCGAGGAACUGCAUCCGAAACUUGUUUUUCUUGAGUGCAGAAGAGGAUAGUUGGAACUCCAUGUGUAGCGGUGGAAUGGCGUAGA